AGGCAUCUAUUGAGAGGGUGUACAUCUGACACAGCUCACAGAGCCAGCAGAAAAGUCAGCACAGAUUAUUUUCCCACCCACACACUUUCACAAGGAGUCAACGGCGUCACUACUGCACAGGUCUCGUAAAGGGUCAAGGAUUUAUUUUUCUUGAGUGAGCAACAAACUUCUUUUUCCAUCAGCAAUAAUAUUUUGUGACAGUGAGGCACCAUCCCUAGGAUCCCAGUAGUCUCUGACCCAGCAGAUACUGAAACUGCAAGCGCACUCUUGGCGAAUAACCAGGGAGUUCUGCAUGGAGAAGCUGCAUGGAUGAGGUCUGGGGCAGACUACAGUUGCAAUCCUGAGUGCUGUAACAUGACUAUGGCAACAAAUGUGGGUUAAUCUGGAGUUUGGCUUUUGUGGCUCUAGGAGGCACUUCAUGAAAACCCAAACCAGCCAAGUCAAAUGAACAAACACCCACAUCCUUGGUAGCUUGACUCUGCUAAAAUUAAAUGCCCUGAGAUGAGCUUCUCUCAUCAGCUCCUUCCUAAA